UGCCAGCCGCCGCGGUAAUACGGAGGGGGCAAGCGUUGUUCGGAAUUACUGGGCGUAAAGGGCGUGUAGGCGGCACAAUUAGUCAGGCGUGAAAGCCCCGGGCUCAACCUGGGAACUGCGUUUGAUACUGUUGUGCUAGAGACCGGAAGAGGGUAGUGGAAUUUCCAGUGUAGAGGUGAAAUUCGUAGAUAUUGGAAAGAACACCAGUGGCGAAGGCGGCUACCUGGUCCGGAUCUGACGCUGAGGCGCGAAAGCGUGGGGAGCAAACAGGAUUAGAUA
rnacentral:rRNA from 1 species